rnacentral:rRNA from 1 species
GACGAACGCUGGCGGCGUGCCUAAUACAUGCAAGUCGAGCGGACCUCUUCGGAGGCUAGCGGCGGACGGGUGAGUUACACGUGGGCAACCUGCCUGUAAGACUGGGAUAACUUCGGGAAACCGGAGCUAAUACCGGAUAAUCCUUUCCCUCUCAUGAGGGAAAGCUGAAAGACGGUUUCGGCUGUCACUUACAGAUGGGCCCGCGGCGCAUUAGCUAGUUGGUGAGGUAACGGCUCACCAAGGCGACGAUGCGUAGCCGACCUGAGAGGGUGAUCGGCCACACUGGGACUGAGACACGGCCCAGACUCCUACGGGAGGCAGCAGUAGGGAAUCUUCCGCAAUGGACGAAAGUCUGACGGAGCAACGCCGCGUGAGCGAAGAAGGCCUUCGGGUCGUAAAGCUCUGUUGUCAGGGAAGAACAAGUAUCGGAGUAACUGCCGGUACCUUGACGGUACCUGACCAGAAAGCCACGGCUAACUACGUGCCAGCCGCCGCAGUAA